rnacentral:rRNA from 1 species
AUUGAACGCUGGCGGCAGGCCUAACACAUGCAAGUCGAGCGAGCGGCGGACGGGUGAGUAAUGUAUGGGGACUGCCCGAUCUAGGGGGAUAACUACUGGAAACGGUGGCUACUACUGCAUACUACUAGUUAACCCAUAUGGGAUGAGCUAGUCGGUGUGGUAAAGGCUCACCUAGGCGACGAUCUUCAGCUGGUCCGAGAGGAAGAUCAGCCACACUGGGACUGAGACACGGCCCAGACCCCUACGGAGGCAGCAGUGGGGAAUAUUGCACAAUGGGCGAAAGCCUGAUGCAGCCAUGCCGCGUGUAUGAAGAAGGCCUUAGGGUUGUAAAGUACUUUCAGCGGGGAGGCGUUACCCGCAGAAGAAGCACCGGCUAACUCCGUGCCAGCAGCCGCGGUAAUAC